UACGAAGGGUGCAAGCGUCGUUCGGAAUUAUUGGGCGUAAAGCGCGUGUAGGCGGUUCGUUAAGUCUGAUGUGAAAGCCCGGGGCUCAACCCCGGAAGUGCAUUGGAUACUGGCGGACUUGAGUACGGGAGAGGGAAGUGGAAUUCCGAGUGUAGGGGUGAAAUCCGUAGAUAUUCGGAGGAACACCGGUGGCGAAGGCGGCUUCCUGGACCGAUACUGACGCUGAGACGCGAAAGCGUGGGGAGCAAACAGG
rnacentral:rRNA from 1 species